CUGGAGUGAAGGGCAUUUCCCUGCAGCAGGUGCACCUGCGCCUCGUUACCCCAUCAAGCUUGGCUGUGUAUUUAAGGACUCCUGACUUCUGCCACUCCUUGUCAGAUUAUUGACCUUGCUUGUUGUUGUGCUUCAAGUGUGAUUUUUCCGAGACCUCUCGAUACAAUUCCUAGUCGCUCCCGUUUGUUCAUAGUUUUCUUGAGCAGGUUAUUUAACUCAGGUUAGCAAAAAAAAAAAAAAAAGUGAAAAGGAAAGUACUGAACAUCUCCAAACAAACCCAAAUGCGAGUGUCCUACAAGGACGGCUGCGUUACUGGGCUUGAAAAACACAUCGGCUACGUCACCGUUCUUACAGAAUUGCCAAAAGCAGGCUUGGACACUGGACACAGUUGCAGGGUUCAAAGUUAAAAAAAAAAA